rnacentral:tRNA from 1 species
GGGGUUGUUGCUUAGUGGUAGAGUGCUUGCCUUGCAUGCAGGAGGCAAUGGGUUUGAUCCUCAACACCA